AUGUACCUUUCCGGAGGCCGAUCCAACGGUGUCGUUGCGUGGCGUUUUGAUGUAGGGGUUUUAAUUCCCACCGACCCAACACUGGAGCUGUGCCGUUCAACUGUCAACACAGCAAAGCUACGGAGCAAUCUCUCAUCUCUGUAAGCUCGCGGAUCAUGAGGAAGAAGAAGAAGACGAAAUCCGAAGUUAAGUUUUGGCCCCUCGUCCAAACACACUGAGAAGAUGGGAACACGUGGACUCGGAGGCAUCUUUUGUGUUUAUCGAAUUGCCAUUGCAAUGCCUCGUUGUUAUCGAAAUUUAAGUUUAAAAGGAACCUUAAGCGGAGUGGAAAUAGAAGGGAGUUUAUUCAGAGCGCAGGAGCGGAAACAUCAAUGGAAGAUAAGAAUUUGGAAAAGCCAAUUCCUGAAGGGUGGGAGUUGAAGGAUGAAGGCUCCAAAACCUCGCACUACUUGUGUCCUGCAACUGGUCAGCAUUUUUCAACAUAUGAUGAUCUUAUGCGAUAUGUGAACUAUGCGAAGGAGAACAAGCUUUCAAUAUAUGCACCGGAUUGUAAGUUCAACAAACUGAAGAGGAAACGCAGGAAGAACAAACCUAUAUCUUUAACCAGGAAAACUCUGGCGGUCAAAGCUCAAGGCCGCUGCCUGUGAAUCUGGGUAAAGAAAGAGAGGAAACCGCCAACCCUAUGGAAAGCAAUGAUACUGGGAAGGACACUGAAGCUGGUGAGGCUGGGAAGAAGAGCAUUCAAGCUGGUGACCUUGAAGCAUCAGAAGCUAUGAAAGAAUAAGGCUCCGAGGUUAUCCAUUUGUCUCUGCAGGGUGCGGAGUAUUCACCUUUCUGUUGAUUGUCGGAUUGCUCUUUUCUCCGGUUUCUUCGGAAUAAUGCAUUUCCAGUUUGGUUAAUUCCUGAAUUUACUUUGGUAUUUUAAUUUUAGUCUUGUAUGCAUUAUGGCAUGAGAGGCCAACGAUUCAUUAUAAAAACGAAUAGAAGGGACAGAUUGUUGUUUCAAUCUGAUUCGAUCCAAGGUGUUUUGGGAUUA
rnacentral:sRNA from 1 species